AAAAUACGAAAAGUAAUGUGAAUUGCAGAAUUCAGUGAAUCAUCGAAUCUUUGAACGCACAUUGCGCCCGCCAGUAUUCUGGCGGGCAUGCCUGUUCGAGCGUCAUUUCAACCAUCAAGCCCCCGGGCUUGUGUUGGGGACCUGCGGCUGCCGCAGGCCCCGAAAACCAGUGGCGGGCUCGCUGUCACACCGGGCGUAGUAGAUUUUUCGUCUCGCCCAGGGCGUGCUGCGGGUUCCGGCCGUUAAAAAGCCUCUCUUUUAACCCAAGGUUGACCUCGGAUCAGGUAGGAAGACCCGCUGAACUUAAGC
rnacentral:misc_RNA from 1 species